UACGUAGGGACCGAGCGUUGUCCGGAAUCAUUGGGCGUAAAGAGCGUGUAGGCGGCUUGUUAAGUCUUGCGUGAAAUCUCGGGGCUCAACCCCGAGCGGUCGUGAGAAACUGGCAGGCUAGAGUGCGGGAGAGGAGAGUGGAAUUCCUGGUGUAGCGGUGAAAUGCGCAGAUAUCAGGAGGAACACCAAUGGCGAAGGCAGCUCGCUGGGACGUGACUGACGCUGGAGACGCGAAAGCGUGGGGAGCAAACAGG
rnacentral:rRNA from 1 species